rnacentral:tRNA from 1 species
AGCAGUGUGGCUUAGUGGAAAGAGCAUGUGCUUGGGAGUCAGAGGUCGUGAGUUCUAAUCCCACCUCCGCCA